AUUGCUUCUCAGCCUUUUAGCUAAGAUCAACUGUAGUAUUUGUCCUUACCAGUUUAAUAGCGAGGAAAUUUGGUAAAAAUCCUGGAGAUAAUGUUGAGUGAUAGGAGUGCUGGGAGAAAUAUAU
rnacentral:snRNA from 1 species